AGCAGAGCUGUCAACUCAACUUCCCUUCUGCUCAAAAAGAACGAUGAAACGUUGACAUCAACAUCGUGCAAAAGGUGCUACUCCUCGAUCGUCGGUCCAUCGUGUGCAUGUGGUGUUGAAUCGCACAGAAAUAGAAGUUGUUGCUUAAUUCCGCAAUUCAAGUUUUCCGGAAAUUUGCACAGCGGCCUUGAUCUCCUGAAAAAAGCUCCGGAUAAGAACGGUCAGUCUCCUGGCGAAGUACACACGAAGUGCAACGGAAUUUGAAGGAAAAUACCCGGCACAGGAAUAGAGAAGAGGGCAAGAUACUUUGUUGAACACGAAUGGUUUGAUAGCACGAGCAAAACGACAGCGAGAUAUUCAGAUCACGCCGUCGCUCGGAGGUGCCUGGAACCGGCCGAAAACAAAGGACACACGAACACGUUGCCUGGAGAGUAGCACACCACCGACGAGAGGGUAAGGGGUAGAAAAACCUUAACCGCUGCGAGCCAACUACCUGCGCAUCGCAUAACUACUGGAAGCCCAUCAUAUCGCUCCUGGAGCAAAAGGAGAGCCUUCUAAACGAAGGCUCUUUUACAUAAUUACAGAUUCAGGCCACACUGGCACAGGACGAAGAUCGCUCGGUGAAGGCACUGCUCUAAGAAGAUUUGGAAGAAUCACUUCGUGGAAAGAUUCCGACCACAAGCAGCUCUCGGCUCUCGAAAUAGGAGCAACGGCAAAGACACCGUAUUGGCGACGAGGACUGACUAGCUUUGCUUCCGCCCGCAGCGAGAAGGGGAGAGAGCGGAAUCAAUCGGCCGGACAGUGAGGAACGAAGUAGGCGACGAUGGGAUUAAGCGCUUUCGACGUCUGGCGAGUGAUACGUUCGAGCAUGCGUGGACAAGAGCAGUAACCGUGAGUACUCACGGGAAGCAAGCCGAAGGCAGUGAAGAAGAGAAGAUGUGUUAAAGUACAGAUAGGUGAAGAGUAGGGUAGAGAGGGAUAAUAGGAGAAGAAAAUAUGUGAGAAGCGGGAAAUAAAGUAUGCACACCAGAA